rnacentral:rRNA from 1 species
GCCUAGACGUAAACAGAAGUGACCCCCCACCUCGUCAUUCGCCCGGGUACAACGAGCCCAAGCUUAAAACCCAAAGGACUUGGCGGUGCUUUAGACCCCCCUAGAGGAGCCUGUUCUAGAAUCGAUUCUCCCCGUUCAACCUCACCCCCCCUUGUUCUCCCCGCCUAUAUACCGCCGUCGUCAGCUUACCCUGUGAAGGAAGAGAAGUAAGCAGAAUUGGCACAGCCCAAAAAGUCAGGUCGAGGUGUAGCGUAUGGAGGGGAAAGAAAUGGGCUACAUUUGCUGAGCCAGCAAAUACGGAUUUUGCACUGAAAUUAGAGCACAUGAAGGAGGAUUUAGUAGUAAGGAGGAAGUAGAGCGUCCCCCUGAACCCGGCCCUGAAGCGCGCACACACCGCCCGUCACUCUCCCCAAACGACCAAUAAUCAUAAUUAAUAUAACACCAAAUACUAAGGGGAGGUAAGUCGUAACAUGGUAAGUGUACCGGAAGGUGUACUUGGACAAAACC